rnacentral:lncRNA from 1 species
AAACAUGUACGCAUCAUCUCACUUCCCUCGGAGAGACAGAGAGAGAGCACACCGGCUUGUGGCGGUGGGUAGCAUGCCAUGCUCAGCCUCGAUCUGGCCAAGGGCGGCGUGGAGGAGGCCGCAUGGCCUCUAUCCAGCCAAGGGCGCUGCAGAGGAUGGCCACCCACCCUCGAUCCGGCCAAGAGCGCCACCGAGGACAGCCGCUCGGCCUUAAUUGAGCCAAAUACAACAUGGAGGAGAUCCACCUAGCCUCAAUUCGACCAACGACAACAUGGAGGAGGGCCGCCCGGCCUGGAUCUGACCAACUGCAGUCGCGGAGGAGGCAGGGUGUGAAGGCCCCCUCGAAUAUCGGUACUCUUCCAUGGUGGCAUCUCCUUUCGGUGUGGUCUGCGUGUGGGGCAUGGUGGCAUGAGUACUGAGCGGAAGACAGAUGAAGGAGCAGAAGUUGACAGCCUCCUCCCCCGUGUGAUACGGAUGAAGGAGCAGAAGCUGAUAGCCUCUUCCCCUGCAGUGGCUCGGAUCCUCGCCGUCUGUGCGUCCCAGGUUCUGCGUCCUCUAAUGGGAACCCUUCCUCCCUUCUGUGUAUGGUUGUGAUUCUUUCUGCUCGGUGCUAAACCCCGGUGACCUGUGGAUCAAUGAUCCUUGUGAUUAGUGGCUAACCUUCAGUUGCUUGUCCGAGGUUCUGAUUGGAUUAUAUUGCAAAGAUUUUGGUGAUGUUUUGAAUCCGGCAAAGACUUGCUCCUCCCUGGUGCGUACAGUAAAGAUCCAAGACAUUCUUUAAUUCUUUAAUGAGUCGUGGUGCAAGCUUUAGACCACGGCUAUUGUGGCAAUGCCUGCCAACAAUAUUU